rnacentral:rRNA from 1 species
GACAUACACCGGAAACGUCUGGAGACAGGCGCCCCCUUGUGGUCGGUGUACAGGUGGUGCAUGGCUGUCGUCAGCUCGUGUCGUGAGAUGUUGGGUUAAGUCCCGCAACGAGCGCAACCCUUGUCCCGUGUUGCCAGCAGGCCCUUGUGGUGCUGGGGACUCACGGGAGACCGCCGGGGUCAACUCGGAGGAAGGUGGGGACGACGUCAAGUCAUCAUGCCCCUUAUGUCUUGGGCUGCACACGUGCUACAAUGGCCGGUACAAUGAGCUGCGAUACCGUGAGGUGGAGCGAAUCUCAAAAAGCCGGUCUCA